rnacentral:rRNA from 1 species
UAGGGAAUCUUUCGGGCAAUGGACGGAAGUCUGACCGAGCAACGCCCGCGUGAGUGAAGAAGGUUUUUCGGAUCGUAAAGCUCUGUUGUAAGAGAAGAACGAGUGUGAGAGUGGAAAGUUCACACUGUGACGGUAUCUUACCAGAAAGGGACGGCUAACUACGUGCCAGCAGCCGCGGUAAUACGUAGGUCCCGAGCGUUGUCCGGAUUUAUUGGGCGUAAAGCGAGCGCAGGCGGUUAGAUAAGUCUGAAGUUAAAGGCUGUGGCUUAACCAUAGUACGCUUUGGAAACUGUUUAACUUGAGUGCAAGAGGGGAGAGUGGAAUUCCAUGUGUAGCGGUGAAAUGCGUAGAUAUAUGGAGGAACACCGGUGGCGAAAGCGGCUCUCUGGCUUGUAACUGACGCUGAGGCUCGAAAGCGUGGGGAGCAAACAGGAUUAGAUACCCUGGUAGUCCACGCCGUAAACGAUGAGUGCUAGGUGUUAGACCCUUUCCGGGGUUUAGUGCCGCAGCUAACGCAUUAAGCACUCCGCCUGGGGAGUACGAAAAAAGGGGGGUUG